rnacentral:rRNA from 1 species
CAAGCGACUGUUUACCAAAAACAUAGGUUUCUGCUAAGUCGCAAGACGAUGUAUAGGAGCUGACGCCUGCCCGGUGCUGGAAGGUUAAGGGGAUCUGUUAGAGCAAUCGAAGCAGUGAACUUAAGCCCCAGUAAACGGCGGCCGUAACUAUAACGGUCCUAAGGUAGCGAAAUUCCUUGUCGGGUAAGUUCCGACCCGCACGAAAGGCGUAACGAUUUGGGCACUGUCUCAACAACAGACUCGGUGAAAUUGUAAUUCCGGUGAAGAUGCCGGAUACCUGCGACAGGACGGAAAGACCCCAUGGAGCUUUACUGUAGCUUGACAUUGGGUCUUGGUACUACAUGUACAGGAUAGGUGGGAGGCUUUGAAACCAGGACGCCAGUUUUGGCGGAGCCAUCCUUGGGAUACCACCCUUGUAGUACUGGGACUCUAACCAUAGGCCAUGAAUCUGGUCUUGGGACACUGUCAGGUGGGCAGUUUGACUGGGGCGGUCGCCUCCCAAAAGGUAACGGAGGCGCUCAAAGGUUCUCUCAGUACGGUCGGAAAUCGUACGUAGAGUGUAAAGGCAAAAGAGAGCUUGAUUGCAAGACAUACAGGUCGAGCAAGGAUGAAAAUCGGACUUAGUGAUCCGGUGGUUCUGCGUGGAAGGGCCAUCGCUCAACGGAUAAAAGCUACCCUGGGGAUAACAGGCUUAUCUCCCCCAAGAGUCCACAUCGACGGGGAGGUUUGGCACCUCGAUGUCGGCUCAUCA